UGUUGAUGUGGACUGGAUGGGCUCUUUGUUCUUCUGUCCAACUAGAGAAUGUCUUUGAUUUAUCUGGAUUAAUAAUCUUCAUUCAGAAAGCCUUGAAAACAGCUUAUUAACCUUUCCUGCAAUAGCAGUUUCUCAUCUGUGAGAAGA